rnacentral:rRNA from 1 species
GACGAACGCUGGCGGCGUGCUUAACACAUGCAAGUCGAACGGUAAGGCCCUUCGGGGUACACGAGUGGCGAACGGGUGAGUAACACGUGGGUGAUCUGCCCUGCACUUCGGGAUAAGCCUGGGAAACUGGGUCUAAUACCGGAUAGGACCUUGGGAUGCAUGUCCUGGGGUGGAAAGCUUUUGCGGUGUGGGAUGGGCCCGCGGCCUAUCAGCUUGUUGGGGGGGUGAUGGCCUACCAAGGCGACGACGGGUAGCCGGCCUGAGAGGGUGACCGGCCAGACUGGGACUGAGAUACGGCCCAGACUCCUACGGGAGGCAGCAGUGGGGAAUAUUGCACAAUGGGCGGAAGCCUGAUGCAGCGACGCCGCGUGAGGGAUGACGGCCUUCGGGUUGUAAACCUCUUUCAGCACCGACGAAGCGCAAGUGACGGUAGGUGCAGAAGAAGGACCGGCCAACUACGUGCCAGCAGCCGCAGUAA